GGGUCUGCAGGACAGUCAACGAGCGGUGGGGGAGCGCCGCUACUUCCGGCAUCGUCGUCUUCCUUUCUUGUCCUGCUCUCCCCUCUCUGGAUUUAACACUUGAACUAAAGAGACCAAAGACCAGAGGCACAAGUGUUCAGUAUGAACGAAGGCUCUGAACUUGAUCAACCAUGGAUCAAGUGUUCAGUACUCAUGCUGUGAACUUUGGCCCUCAAUACGAAAUAAAGGCUCUGAACUUGAUCAACCAUGGAUCAAGUGUUCACUAUGGAGCACAACUGCUUUCUGCCUUUACAGAUCAAUUUGAAACUAACUACUGUUGAUCCCCUGCUUAAUUUCACAAAAGGAGUAAAGAACAGAAUGAUCUCACUCAACCACACUAUUAAUUUCUCUGUGUUUUCCUUUCACUGUAGAUCUACACUAUUGUUUCUUCCUUUCUCUGUUUCUUGCUCAAUUGAAAUUAAUUUCAUAGAAGUAACAGCAGAGGUAGUGUUUUACUGAUGUUUGCUUAUUGUUGUUGCUGCUGCUGAAGUGUUGAACUGAUGAUUGCUUAUUGAUGCUGCUGUUGCUGACUGCUGUUUUCUUAUUGCUGCUGCUGCUGAUUGCUUAUUGUUGCUGCUGCUGACUGUUGUAGUGCUGUACUGCUGUUUGCUUAUUGUUGUUGGCCUGCUGCUGCUGAUUGCUUAUUGCUGCUGCUGAUUGACUGCUAUUGAUUGAAUGAUUGGUUGCUGCUGCUGCUGAUUGACUGUUUUAAUGCCGAGGUCCGACAGCAAGCUUUUAGUCAAUUUGUCAUGGUUUGGUUGUGUUUUGCUGUUUGUCAAGUACCAUUUCAGAUUAUUAUGAUCUAUCUCUCUCUAAUACUAAUAGACUGUUGUUUGUUGUGUUUUGCAAGAUGCGAUGACAUGGAUUUGGUUUGGAUGGUCAAUCAAUCACUUGAAUUGAAAUAGGAGACAACAGACAACAAAUGGGGUUUCAUAGUCUAUUCUUGCUUGGCUAUAGAUCUUGCACUUGUUUUAAUGUUAUGGGUUGUUCACCAUACCGAGCAAAGUAAAAUGCUCGCAUAUGUUGCAAUAUGUUCACUAUUCGGGUCUCUUACGGUAGGUUUGCAAUACAUCAUACCAGGACAUGAGUUGUUCAAAUUGAUUUCUAAUGCCCUGAUGACACAAACAUAGUCUAUAUUUACCAUGAAAUUUUGUGGCUUUGGUGACACAAACAUUGGAUCCAUUUUGGGGUAUAUUCCACUAGAAUUAAACUCAGGAAAGCAAACCAAAGUUAUAACUUGGUCUUGAAUUGAAGUUUGUUCUUUGACCAACAUUGGGUCUUCUCUUAGCACGAUUGGCCUUCCACCAAUCCAGUCUAUCAAAAAGGAACAUAUACUAAGUAAGAACUACUAGAAUUAAAAAAUAAUUUGAUAUACAGCAGAAUCACUAAGUAAAAGAAAUAACUUCAAAGGAGUGAUAGAAUAGUAGAUAGAUAUCCUUCAGGAGAAGCCUAGAUAAUCAACAUACCUUUUUUGCAUGGAAAAAUAGUUUUCUGUGUGUUCUGUUAAUAAAGGAGGAAAUAAUUUAAUAAUCUCCUUGGUUCUACCUUGAAAUAACAUAAGAUAACUCUGUACUUAUUUGGUUGAUUUAGGCAGAAGUAGCUGAUCCGAUAAGCUUGUUGUUCAAAAAAUCAUACACAAAAUGACCCGGAUUACAUUCAGCAUGUAAGAGCUCUCUUAAUUCCACGUCCGAUAGCCAUAAUAGAUCUCUUGUCUUCUAGCUCUAUCUGCAAGAUUGUGAGCAAGCUUGUUCUGGUCCCUACCGAUCCAAGCUUGUGAGCAAGUGCUUCAGGGCCUCUUUAGUGUCAGAAAAAACAGAGAGCAUCAUGGACCUAUUAGUCGUAUCUUGUUUCAGACCCUGCACCAACAACCGACAGUCUAACUCGAUACUGAUUGCACGGUGCACCAUUUAACAGCUCGCUAGUUCCUUCAGAUCGACCAGAAGCGCGGUACCCUCGGCUUCAUCAAUGCUGUUGCAGGUUCCGAUGCCGUGACCUAUAGACAGAAACACCAGGCCCUCAUCAUUCCUGACAAUCGAUCCCAUCAAGCACAAUCCCGAUGUAGCAUGAAAAGCAGCAUGACUUCGGUGACAGCAACAACCGUUCAUCCCCAUUCUGACUACUGCUAGAUUUUCCUUUCUCAGACUUAGAAGUGUUCUGACAGGAACAAUCCUCCUACUGUAUCUAUUAGUCCAUCCAGCUAGUACUGCAUAUACAUGUUCAAAAUCAAUGUCAUAACACGGUGCAUAGCACAAAAUAAGAUUUGUGAGUCUCCCUGCUUGAAGAUUUUC